CAGUCGCCACGGUAAUACGAAGGGGGCUAGCGUUGCUCGGAAUGACUGGGCGUAAAGGGCGCGUAGGCGGUUCGUACAGUUGGAUGUGAAAUUCCUGGGCUUAACCUGGGGGCUGCAUUCAAUACGUGCGGGCUUGAGUGUGGAAGAGGGUUGUGGAAUUCCCAGUGUAGAGGUGAAAUUCGUAGAUAUUGGGAAGAACACCGGUGGCGAAGGCGGCAACCUGGUCCAUAACUGACGCUGAGGCGCGAAAGCGUGGGGAGCAAACAGGAUUAGAUACCCCCGUAGUCCCUGUCUCUUAUAC
rnacentral:rRNA from 1 species